UUGUAUGCAUCCGUGUGUCUGUCUGUCUGUCUGCACAUAGCUGUUAAUAUGCCUUAUCCGUCUCUCUGAGUCUGUCUGUCUGUCUGACCACACACAGUGCUGUUCCUAUGCCUUAUGAUCACCUGUGUCUGUCUGUCUGUCUACACGGCUGUUUGUACAGUAUGCCUUAUACAUCCCACAGUGUCUGUCCAUCUGACCACACACAUUACUGUUCCUAUGCCUUAUGAUCACCUGUGUCUGUCUGUCUGUCUGUGUGUCUACACACACACACA